rnacentral:rRNA from 1 species
UACGGAGGGUGCAAGCGUUGUUCGGAAUUAUUGGGCGUAAAGCGCGUGUAGGCGGCUUUGCAAGUUGGGUGUGAAAUCCCUCGGCUCAACCGAGGAAGGGCGCCCAAAACUGCAUGGCUUGAGUCUCGGAGAGGAUGGCGGAAUUCCCCAAGUAGAGGUGAAAUUCGUAGAUAUGGGGAGGAACACCGGUGGCGAAGGCGGCCAUCUGGACGAAGACUGACGCUGAGACGCGAAAGCGUGGGGAGCAAACAGG